UACGAAGGGGGCUAGCGUUGUUCGGAAUCACUGGGCGUAAAGGGCGCGUAGGCGGCUUUAUAAGUCGGGGGUGAAAGCCUGUGGCUCAACCACAGAAUUGCCUUCGAUACUGUAUGGCUAGAGACCGGAAGAGGUGAGUGGAAUUCCCAGUGUAGCGGUGAAAUGCGUGAGAUAGUGGAGGAACACCAGUGGCGAAGGCGGCUCGCUGGGACGGUACUGACGCUGAGGCGCGAAAGCGUGGGGAGCGAACAGG
rnacentral:rRNA from 1 species